rnacentral:rRNA from 1 species
UACGAAGGGGGCUAGCGUUGCUCGGAAUCACUGGGCGUAAAGCGCACGUAGGCGGCUUUCUAAGUCAGGGGUGAAAUCCUGGAGCUCAACUCCAGAACUGCCUUUGAUACUGAAGAUCUUGAGUUCGGGAGAGGUGAGUGGAACUGCGAGUGUAGAGGUGAAAUUCGUAGAUAUUCGCAAGAACACCAGUGGCGAAGGCGGCUCACUGGCCCGAUACUGACGCUGAGGCACGAAAGCUAGGGGAGCAAACAGG